rnacentral:tRNA from 1 species
AUUAUAUUGGCAGAUUAGUGCAAGGAAUUUAGAAUUCUUUUAAGUAAUAUUUUUACAUAUAAUA